UUAAGCCGCCAGAGGCCGCUUCUCGCUAAAGUGCAGCUGUGUGCGUGUGUGUGCCAAAAAGCGUUUAAGUAAUAAAGCGAAAAAAAAAGAGUAGCAAAAAAAAAAAAAAAUAAGAAAAUAAAAGCGCGCAGAGUUUCGUGUCAUUUCGCGUGUUAUACUAUUUGUCUUUGUGUGCGUGUGUGUGUGUGUGCAGUGCAAAAAUCUAGACAACAACAACAACAACAAGGAGAAGAAGAGCAGGCAGAAGCAGCUAGAAGAAGAGCAAUUUAGUGAGUGCAAGUGCUGCAAUUAAAAAGUUGUCACAGCGCCGCCCCGCAACGUUCCACGCGCCCCCAACUAAAGUGCGCACUUGAAAUAUUUGUAACUCUUUCUUUGUGCAACAUUUUUGUGCGGUUUCUGCCGCGCACAACAGAUUUGUUAAAUGAAACCGGAAAAUUGGCUCGACUCAUCUGCCUCAACGUCAGCAGCUGCCGCUGCCGCUGCCGCUACCGCUGCCGCUGCCAACGCCACCGUUGCAGCCGCAACGUACAGCAAUGCAAAGGUAAGCCAUUGCGCAUUCGAAUCAUUUGAAUCACAAUGAAUCAUUUGUGAAUGUUAUUCAAUUCUGCACUCGUAAGUAAAACAACUUUACGUUUGCGUUUUUAGCAUUUGUUAAUAUUUAGCAAAAGCAGCAGCAGCAACUAAAACUAAAACUUAAUUUAACGACCGCAAACACAGUUUUUUUUUGUUUGUUUGUUUUUGCGGCUGCUGUGAAAUUUGUUGACCCCAACAACAGCAAAAUUGAAUGUGAGGAAAAGCGCGUUUUCAAAGAUUUCACUUUCUUGACGUUAACAACAGAAGAGGCGCAAAUGCAAAUGCAAAGUCCAGCGCCAAAAAUGCUGCUAAUUGUUAUCGAUAGAAAAGCCAGCCCAUUGUUAUCGAUAACUUAUCGAUGGCUGAUCCGCUCAUAUCCGAUUAUUCCUAUCGGUAGAUAAAAAAAACUUAAAUAUUAGCCAAGUUCAUUGAGGCUGUCGGAACACUGGAGAACUAACGUAUACAUAAAGAAUCACAUUCUCAGAGCUCAUAUACUAAAUUCUUUUGUUAAAAAUGAUGCGAGCUUAUAGUAAAGUGAUUUAAGUGUAUCGCAAAACUAUAACAAUACCAUAUUAUAGGAAUAUAUUUAAAAUAUGAGUUAAAUUUUAGGGUAACUUCAAAACAACAAAUAUAAAUAUAUAGAACGAAAGCAGAUAGAAAAACAUCGCCAGAGAUUUAAAAAGGACCAAAAA